CUGUUGAGUGCCUCUGGGACCUGUAUUUUUCUUGCUGGGGUGGGAUUUAUUCCGCUUCUCCCGUACUCCUGCAUCUCCAAGGCCAGUGGAGGACACCAGGGGACAGCUGGCUGAGAUCAAGGAUUAACGUCAAGGAAUUUCUUCAUCGUCUCCAUCAUCAAAUUCUACUUAACAUGCUCUGCCCAUUCCAAGAAAAAAAGAGGAAUGAAUGUGAACUCUUUUUGUACAUACAGCCAUUUACUCAAAAAAUGCAGCCGGCAGAGAUUCCACAGCUGGGAAGCUGACUGGUAAGCACCCUGUGUAAGUGAACGCGCUCAGUGGGAUGGAAGGAAGAGUACUGAGGGGACGCGGG
ensembl:lncRNA novel transcript